rnacentral:rRNA from 1 species
UCAUGCCUACGGGGGGCAGCAGUGAGGAAUAUUGGUCAAUGGCCGAGAGGCUGAACCAGCCAAGUCGCGUGAGGGAUGACGGCCCUACGGGUUGUAAACCUCUUUUGUCGGGGAGCAAAGAGAGUCACGUGUGGCUCAUUGAGAGUACCCGAAGAAAAAGCAUCGGCUAACUCCGUGCCAGCAGCCGCGGUAAUACGGAGGAUGCGAGCGUUAUCCGGAUUUAUUGGGUUUAAAGGGUGCGCAGGCGGAGGGGCAAGUCAGUGGUCAAAUUGCGGGGCUCAACCCCGUACUGCCGUUGAAACUGC